GAGGGAGGAUGGAAGAAGCUUUCGCCAUAAGGAAGAAAGGCGGAUUGAGGAAGGUGGUUAACAUCAGAGAGAUGGAGAUAAUUUCCGGUGUCGGCGAUGGAAUCACCAAAGCUGAUGAUCGAUUUAAAACGCCUACAUCGAGAUUCUGAUGAAGCAACAAUGAUGGUGGUGGAGUACAAGACAAGUAGAAAGCUUGAAAUAAGCUUCUCCAGUGAAGAAGCCAUGGGAAGAAUCGUCUUCGUCGUUUCUGUAACUCAAUUUUUAUCACCCUUUUUAAUUUGGACCACUAAAUAUGGUCAGUGGUGGAUUUCAUUUACUAUGCAACCAAGACUAUAGUAAACUGGGGAAAAUAUAAAUUUUUUUUGUUUAUGUUUUUUUGGUGUGUGAUCAAUAAUUGUUUGAAAAUGCACUAGUUUCAGAAACGUUCAUGCCACGUAUUUAAGACACGUAAGGUUAUGCAUGGGAUACACAUAGACGAAUCUCCAGUCUAUAAUCUAAGAUUCCUUUCGAAUAUCAGGCCAUUAAUUUUUUUGGAUACAAUUUUUAUUUUAAUUCUUCAAGUGCUUUUAAUAAACUAUUAAUUUGUAAUCCAAGAUUCCUUGCAAUUCUCUGCAACUCUUCUUUUUUUCUUGCAAAGGCCAGAGCCACUACUAAAUCAUCUUUAUCCACUGAAAUCAUAAGAGCCAAGGCAGGACCAGUCGAAAGCAGGAGUUGUAUAGCGACCAUUGAGUAAACCCUGAGCCAUCUUCUGGUACGUGGCUUCGGUUAAAUGAUAACCAUCCCAAUUCACAUACUCAGAAGGAUUUUGACAAUAGCUAACUCCGUUUUCUCCACACUCUUUACCAAUAGUGAAGUUGUAUUGACCUCCGACUCCACAACAAGCAGCCAAAGGUCUGUUCUUAAAACCUAAAAAGGGACCAUAAUUCAUAAAACAUGGGUUAACGAAUUAAACCGUACGUGAGGGUCAAAGUUAGAAGCUUUAGAAGGCGCAUACCAUAUUUGGCUGGUUCUUGAAAAAGUCCGUACAAAGAGUUGUAGUAGUCGGCGUAAAUGAUGUUGACAUGAGGGUAGAGUUUUUGGAGUUGUUUGAGUUCUAUCUUAAGUUGUUCGUUAUGGUGCUCUCCGAAUUUGUUAAGCCAUGGGAUACAACCUGUAAAAGGGUCGUGUUCUACUGUCGCGGUCUGAAAUAGAGUAAGAUAUGCCGUGGAACAUCCUAUUGGGAAGUUUCCGGGUACCAGGAAUGUUUUUCCUCCCAAAUCAAUCAAAUCCUGUAGUUUUAUUACUUAAUUAAUUUGUUAAAAUUUGAAACACACAUUUUUGAGGGGAGGGCAAUGUUAAGAUUUGUUACCACAAUAGCAGAAGAAAUAGCUUUGAUGAUUAGAGGAACAAGCUCUUUGAUUUCAUUGAUACUUUUUCCUUCAAAAAAUGGGUAAUUAUAGUCGUUUCCACCAAUCUCUCCCAUGAGUAUCAGCGAGUCUCCAAGCAUCUCUCUGCAAUCUGAACCCCCAAAGAAAAAAAGUUAGAAGGAGCUCAAUGCAUCGUAGAUAUGGAAGAGAACAAGGCUAAGUUUGUAACCACGAGUAGAUGAGGCACAAAGGUUAGGUAAAAUCUGCUUGAAGGUGUUAAGCUGAACACUUAGACUAAUAUUGGUGAAGUCAGAUUUAAUUCCUUGUUUUACAAGAAAGGCACGAUCCAAGGCGGUUGCUCCAUACACAGCAAAAUUUAUCCCUUGAUUGAAGCUCACGUUUUGGGAUCCGAAGUAAGGCGGAACGUACGGUAGUCCCAAGAAUUCGGCUGUGCAAAUAGUAAGACAACAUUACAAAAACACAGAAGCUAGUAAGGUUGAUAACUUGUGGUUCAAGCAAGAGAGACCUGAAGCAGAGGAGUGACCGAGUUGUCUAAAAAUAGAGAAGAAAAAUCAGGUACCGAUGAAAUCUAUAACGAGACGGCCGUCCGAGUAACGGCCGGAGGGAGGAUGGAAGAAGCUUUCGCCGUAAGGAAGAAAUGCGGCUUGAGGAAGAUUAUUGACGUUGGAGAGAUGAACAUAAUUUCCGGUGUCCGCAAUGGAAUCACCGAAGCUGAUGAUUGAUUUGUAACGCCGACACCGAGAUUCUGAUGAGGCAACGACUAUUGUGGUGUAGUAUAAGAUAAGUAGAAAGCUUACGAUGAGCGAAGCCAUGAGGAGAGUCGUCGUCAUCGUCUCUAUUACUCAAUUUUUAGAAUCUUUAACUAAUGCAGAGUUUGAGGCAUUAGUUAUUGGAUUUUAUGUCUUAUCCCAACGCCAAUGAGUAAAUUGAGGAAAAUGGUCAGGUUUAUGAAUGACUGUUGAGUGUUCAAUGAAGUAACUUCAGAAACUUCCACUUUAGAUUAGAUGGCUAAGUCGUACUUUAGUGCCACGUAUAAAAAGACACCUAAGUUUAUGCAUGGAUACAAAUGGGCUAGUCUCUCGUCUUAAUCACUUUUAAUUUAGUGUAAUCCAAAUAAGAAAUUUUAAAUAAUUUUCUUUUUUAUAUAUAGAAUCUUGAACUUUUUCAAAAUUUAAAUGAAUGUGUAAUCAAUGAACCUCACAUGCAUGUUCUCAUCUGUUAUAUCCAUCCAUUGUAAUAUAGUAUUUUAAGUUUUCCCAAAUAGUGUAUUAUGUUCUUAAUCUUUCAGUUCAAAGGAUGUUAUGAAAUUAUUUAAUCCUUAGCUGUCGUUUGUCCCUCUUAAUUCAUCCAAAACUUCUCCAACAUCUUCCACGGAACUGUUAUAAAUAGGAUUUUCUCAACAUGCAACUCGUGCUACGAACCGUAUAAAUAGGAUUUUCUAUUUGCGUGUGGUAUUUUUCAUUGAUAAGAUUGAUGCAUAUAUCCUCGAAAUUUUUGUCACUAGUCAAAUCCUGCCGUACAAGCAAUCUUUUUGUUAAUCAUCAUCACACAAUUUUCUUCCUCUUUUUUUUUUUUUACAACAAAUGAAUUCUAACUGCUCCUUUUAUGUAUCCACUGUACCAGAGCCAAGGCAGGACCAGUCGAAAGCAGGAGUUGCAUAGGGACCGUUGAGUAUACCCUCAGCCAUCUUCUGGUAGGCGGCUUCGGUUAAAUGAUAACCAUCCCAAUUCACAUACUCGGAAGGAUUUUGACAAUAGCUAACUCCUUCGUAUCCACACUCCUUACCAAUAGUGAAGUUGUAUUUACCUCCGACUCCACAGCAAGCAGCUAAAGGUUUGUUCUUAAACCCUAAUGAAAAAAACAAAACAAUAUCUCGGUUAAUGAAUUAAACCAUGAGGGUCAACGAAAGAGUUUUAAGUGGCACGGACCAUAUUUAGCUGGUUCUUGAUAAAACCGGUAUAAGGAGUUAUGGUAGUCAGCGUAAAUGAUGUUGACAUCAGGAUAGAGUUUUUGGAGUCGUUUGAGUUCUGUCUUAAGUUGUUCGUUGUCGUGCUCUCCAAGUUCAUUGAGCCGUGGGAUACAACCUGUCAAGGGGUCGUAGUCUUCUUCUGUCGCGUUCUGAUAUUGAGUAAGACACGCUGCGGAACAUCCUGCUGGGAAGCCUCCGGGUACCAAAAAUGUUUUGCCCCCUAAAGCGAUCAAAUCCUGUAGUUUGGUUGCUUAAUUUGUUAAAGUAUAAAACAGAUAUGUGAUUAUAUUUGUGUAAAGAUUUGUUACCACAAUUGCAGAAGAAAUAGCUUUGAUGAUCAAAUCCUGUAGUUUGGUUUCAUUGAUACUUUUGCCUUCGGAGGAUGGGUAAAAAAAGUCGUUACCUCCAAUCUCUCCCAUGAGUAUCAGCGAGUCUCCAAGCAUCUCUCUGCAAUCUAAACACAAAAAUAAAGAAACCCUGUAAGAACAAGGCUAAGUUUCUGUUUAUCAAAAUAAAAGGCUGAGUUUCUAACCACGAGAAGAUGAGGCACAAAGGUUAGGCAAAAUCUGCUUGAAGAUGUCAAGCUGAACACCUAAACUAACGUUGGUGAAAUCAGAUUCAAUUCCUUUUGCCACAAAAUACGCUCGGUCCAAUGCGGUUGCUCCAUACACCGCGAAAUUGAUCCCUUGUUCAAAGCUAACGUUUUGGGAUCCAAAGUAAGGUGGAACAUACGGUAGUCCCAAGAAUUCAGCUGUUCAAAUAGUAAGACAAUAUUAGAAAAACUCAGGUGAAGUAGGGUUUCUAUCUUGCUUUCCACGCAAGAUAGACCUAAAGCAGAUAGAUGAUUACAAGUGGUUUUGCCUAAACAGAGGAAAUAUUAGGUACCGAUGAAGUCGAUGAUGAGACGGCCAUCAGAGGCACGACCAGAGGGAGGAUGGAAGAAGCUUUCACCAUAAGGAAAAAAGGCGGUUUGAGGAAGAUGAUUGACGUCGGAGAGAUGGAGAAUAUUUCCGGUGUCUGCGAUGGAAUCACCAAAGCUGAUGAUAGAUGUAAAGCGCCGACAUCGAGAUUCUGAUGAAGCAACAAUGAUGGUGGUAGAGUAUAAGACAAGUAGAAAGCUUGAGAUAAGCUUCUUCAGUGAAGAAGCCAUGGGAAGAGCUAGUCGUGGUCUUCGUUCGUCUUUGUCACUCAAUUUUUAAAGUCUUUUUGGAUCAUUGAAUAAUGCAAGAGAUGUGGCAAUUAUUGGAUUUCAUUUAUUAUGCCAGUAAGAAAGAGAGAAAUGAGAAAAAGAAGUUAACGGCAGAAACGUCAGACAAGUUGGAGGCUCCAUCACGAAAUUGGAUUCUUCGAUGAUAGAAUUCGUGAAACUAGUAAUAACGAAAUAUUCCUUCGUUGCUUUUUCUUUUUUCUAUUUGGCCUUCCUUACUUAUUAUAAUCAUAUAAAUGGAUUCUUUAACUAAUCCAUUAUAAAAUGAGUGAAAAAGAAAGAGAACAAUUAUGAAACGGUUAUGGAGAUAUGUGACGCACGCGAUAGUAUGAGGGAAGCCAUAGGAGAAUUGUCGUCUCUAUUACUCAAUUUUUAGAAUCUUUAACUAAUGCAGAGUUUGAGGCAUUAGUUAUUGGAUUUUAUGUAUUAUCCCAACGCCUAUUAGUAAAUUGAGGAAAAUGGUCAGGUUUAUUAAUGACUAUUGAGUGUUCAAUGAAGUAACUUCAGAAACUUCCACUUUAGAUUAGAUGGCUAAGUCGUACUUUAGUGCCACGUAUAAAAAGACACCUAAGUUUAUGCAUGGAUACAAAUGGGCUAGUCUCUCGUCUUAAUCACUUUUAAUUUAGUGUAAUCCAAAUAAGAAAUUUUAAAUAAUUUUCUUUUUUAUAUAAUAGGUCUCUGGUUGUGACCCCGGAGGAACCCUGGCUCUAAAUAGCAAGACUUUAGAAUUUUGAACCUUUUCAAAAUUAAAUGACCAAAAUGUGUAAUCAAUGAACCUCACUUGUUCUCAUCUGUUAUAUCCAUCCAUUGUAAGUUGUCCCAAAUAGUAUAUUAUGUUCUUAAUCUUUCAGUUCAAUGGAUGUUAUGAAAUUAUUUAAAUCCUUAGCUGUCGUUUGUCCCACUCAACUCAUCCAAAACUUCUCCAACAUCUUCCAGGGAACUGUUUAUAAACUUAGAAUGGUCUUAAAAUUAUACGUACUUCCAGAUUUUCUCAACAUUGUAACUAGAGUGCAACUAGUGCUACGAACCGUAUAUAUAGGAUUUUCUAUUUGCGUGUGGUAUUUUUCAGUGAUAAGAUAUAUGCAUAUAGCCAUAUAUCCUCGGAAGUUUUGUCAUUAGUCAAGUCUUGCCGUACAAGCAAUGUUUUUGUUAAUCAUCAUCAUCAUCAUCAUCAUCACAUAAUUUUCUUCCUCUUUGAUUUUUUACAACGAAUGAAUUCUUACUGCUGAAAGAAUACCCUUUAUGUAUCCACUGUACCAGAGCCAAGGCAGGACCAGUCGAAAGCAGGAGUUGCAUAGGGACCGUUGAGUAUACCCUCAGUCAUCUUCUGGUAGGCGGCUUCGGUUAAAUGAUAACCAUCCCAGUUCACAUACUCAGAAGGAUUUUGACAAUAGUUAACUCCUUCGUAUCCACACUCCUUACCAAUAGUGAAGUUGUAUUUACCUCCGACUCCACAGCAAGCAGCUAAAGGUUUGUUCUUAAACCCUAUUGAAAAAGACAAACAAAAUAUCUGUUAAUGAAUUAAUCCGUGAGGGUCAACGACAGAGUUUGAAAUUUCACGGACCGUAUUUAGCUGGUUCUUGAUAAAACCGGUAUAAGGAGUUGUGGUAGUCAGCGUAAAUGAUGUUGACAUGAGGAUAGAAUUUUUGGAGUCGCUUGAGUUCUGUCUUUAGCUGUUCGUUGUGGUGCUCGCCAAAUUCGUUGAGCAAUGGGUAACAACCUGUUAAAGGGUCCUGGUCUUUUUCUGCCACGGUCUGAAAUAGAGUAAGAUACGCCGCAGAACAUCCUGUUGGGAAGCCUCCGGGUACCAAAAAUGUUUUGCCCCCUAAAUCAAUCAAAUCCUGUAGUUUUGUGUUAAUUUUUUAAAAUAUAAAACACAAAAUAUAAUGUGAUUAUUAUUGUGACUGGAGGGCAAUGUUAAGAUUUGUUACCACAAUAGCAGAAGAAAUAGCUUUGACGAUUAGAGGAACAAGCUCUUUGAUUUCAUUGAUACUUUUUCCUUCAAAAAAUGGGUAAUUAUAGUCGUUUCCUCCAAUCUCUCCCAUGAGUAUCAGCGAGUCUCCAAGCAUCUCUUUGCAAUCUAGACAAGAAACGAAAUAAACCCUGUUAGAACCAAGCUAGCUAGACUCAUCAUCAUAGUCCAUAGACAUAGAAAAGAACAAGGGCACGUUUCUGUUAAAAAACAAAACAAGACAAGGCUAAGUUUCUAACCACGAGUAGACGAGGCGCAUAAGUUAGGCAAAAUCUGCUUGAAGGUGUCAAGCUGAACACUUAAACUAACAUUGGUGAAAUCAGAUUCAAUUCCUUUUCCCAAAAGAAACGCUCGGUCCAAUGCGGUUGCUCCAUACACCGCAAAAUUGAUCCCUUGUUCGAAGCUAACGUUUUGGGAUCCAAAGUAAGGCGGUACGUAUGGUAGUCCCAAGAAUUCGGCUGUUCAAAUAGUAAGACAACAUAAGAAAAAAAGAUCAGGAAGAAGUAUAACUUGCUGUUCACGUAAGAAAGACUUAGAGCAAAUGAUAACAGGUGGUUUUGCCUAUAGAGAUGAAAAAAUAGCUACCAAUGAAGUCGAUGAUGAGACGGCCAUUAGAGGCACGACCGGAGGGAGGAUGGAAGAAGCUUUCGCCAUAAGGAAGAAAGGCGGAUUGAGGAAGGUGAUUGACAUCAGAGAGAUGGAGAUAAUUUCCGGUGUCUGCGAUGGAAUCACCAAAGCUGAUGAUCGAUUUAAAACGCCUACAUCGAGAUUCUGAUGAAGCAACAAUGAUGGUGGUGGAGUAUAAGACAAGUAGAAAGCUUGAGAUAAGC
rnacentral:lncRNA from 1 species